rnacentral:rRNA from 1 species
UACGGAGGGUGCAAGCGUUGCUCGGAAUUACUGGGCGUAAAGCGUGUGUAGGCGGCUUCGUAAGUCGGGUGUGAAAUCCCUGGGCUUAACCCAGGAACUGCGCCCGAAACUGUGAAGCUUGAGUGCCGGAGAGGGUGGUAGAAUUCCCAGUGUAGAGGUGAAAUUCGUAGAUAUUGGGAGGAAUACCAGUGGCGAAGGCGGCCACCUGGACGGACACUGACGCUGAGACACGAAAGCGUGGGGAGCAAACAGG